rnacentral:rRNA from 1 species
GAAUCGGCUGCGAGUCCUUUUAAAUAUAUAGAACUGUACUUCUCAUGCUUGAAAAGCGUGACGAUGCUAGUUUGAAGACUGUUCGUGUGGCCAGUCGGCGACCUGUUUGGAAACUGUGACUAUAUGAAGAAGUGUUCGAUUCGCGGUAUGAUUGGCUUCGGCUGGACUACGUUUAUUGGAUGUUUUUUCGGUUAUGGUAGUACGAACGGGUGAACCGUAGCUAUGCAUGUGACUGGUUUUCUUACCUGUGUUGUUGCUGCGAAGUAAAGCGUCAACUUCGGUUGUUGAGGGUCAACCUAUUUGGGAAAUGUGAAGUAAAGCUUCGGCUGCACUUUACCUCAAACGGACCUGAUAUUAGGCAAGAUUACCCGCUGAACUUAAGCAUAUCAAUAAGCGGAGGA